AGGGCCAUCGCUCAACGGAUAAAAGGUACUCCGGGGAUAACAGGCUGAUACCGCCCAAGAGUUCAUAUCGACGGCGGUGUUUGGCACCUCGAUGUCGGCUCAUCACAUCCUGGGGCUGAAGUAGGUCCCAAGGGUAUGGCUGUUCGCCAUUUAAAGUGGUACGCGAGCUGGGUUUAGAACGUCGUGAGACAGUUCGGUCCCUAUCUGCCGUGGGCGCUGGAGAACUGAGGGGGGCUGCUCCUAGUACGAGAGGACCGGAGUGGACGCAUCACUGGUGUUCGGGUUGUCAUGCCAAUGGCACUGCCCGGUAGCUAAAUGCGGAAGAGAUAAGUGCUGAAAGCAUCUAAGCACGAAACUUGCCCCGAGAUGAGUUCUCCCUGACUCCUUGAGAGUCCUGAAGGAACGUUGAAGACGACGACGUUGAUAGGCCGGGUGUGUAAGCGCAGCGAUGCGUUGAGCUAACCGGUACUAAUGAACCGUGAGGCUUAACCUUACAACGCCGAAGGUGUUU
rnacentral:rRNA from 1 species